rnacentral:rRNA from 1 species
CAUGAUGAACGCUAGCUACAGGCUUAACACAUGCAAGUCGAGGGGCAUCAGGAAGAAAGCUUGCUUUCUUUGCUGGCGACCGGCGCACGGGUGAGUAACACGUAUCCAACCUGCCCUUUACUCGGGGAUAGCCUUUCGAAAGAAAGAUUAAUACCCGAUAGCAUAAUGAUUCCGCAUGGUUUCAUUAUUAAAGGAUUCCGGUAAAGGAUGGGGAUGCGUUCCAUUAGGUUGUUGGUGAGGUAACGGCCCACCAAGCCUUCGAUGGAUAGGGGUUCUGAGAGGAAGGUCCCCCACAUUGGAACUGAGACACGGUCCAAACUCCUACGGGAGGCAGCAGUGAGGAAUAUUGGUCAAUGGGCGCUAGCCUGAACCAGCCAAGUAGCGUGAAGGAUGAAGGCUCUAUGGGUCGUAAACUUCUUUUAUAUAAGAAUAAAGUGCAGUAUGUAUACUGUUUUGUAUGUAUUAUAUGAAUAAGGAUCGGCUAACUCCGUGCCAGCAGCCGCGGUAAUACGGAGGAUCCGAGCGUUAUCCGGAUUUAUUGGGUUUAAAGGGAGCGUAGGUGGACUGGUAAGUCAGUUGUGAAAGUUUGCGGCUCAACCGUAAAAUUGCAGUUGAUACUGUCAGUCUUGAGUACAGUAGAGGUGGGCGGAAUUCGUGGUGUAGCGGUGAAAUGCUUAGAUAUCACGAAGAACUCCGAUUGCGAAGGCAGCUCACUGGACUGCAACUGACACUGAUGCUCGAAAGUGUGGGUAUCAAACAGGAUUAGAUACCCUGGUAGUCCACACAGUAAACGAUGAAUACUCGCUGUUUGCGAUAUACAGUAAGCGGCCAAGCGAAAGCAUUAAGUAUUCCACCUGGGGAGUACGCCGGCAACGGUGAAACUCAAAGGAAUUGACGGGGGCCCGCACAAGCGGAGGAACAUGUGGUUUAAUUCGAUGAUACGCGAGGAACCUUACCCGGGCUUAAAUUGCAGUGGAAUGAUGUGGAAACAUGUCAGUGAGCAAUCACCGCUGUGAAGGUGCUGCAUGGUUGUCGUCAGCUCGUGCCGUGAGGUGUCGGCUUAAGUGCCAUAACGAGCGCAACCCUUAUCUUUAGUUACUAACAGGUUAUGCUGAGGACUCUAGAGAGACUGCCGUCGUAAGAUGUGAGGAAGGUGGGGAUGACGUCAAAUCAGCACGGCCCUUACGUCCGGGGCUACACACGUGUUACAAUGGGGGGUACAGAAGGCAGCUAGCGGGUGACCGUAUGCUAAUCCCAAAAUCCUCUCUCAGUUCGGAUCGAAGUCUGCAACCCGACUUCGUGAAGCUGGAUUCGCUAGUAAUCGCGCAUCAGCCACGGCGCGGUGAAUACGUUCCCGGGCCUUGUACACACCGCCCGUCAAGCCAUGGGAGCCGGGGGUACCUGAAGUACGUAACCGCAAGGAUCGUCCUAGGGUAAAA